rnacentral:lncRNA from 1 species
CUACUUAUGUCUCGCUGGUUUAAAAUAUAAGAUCAACACUAUAGGUUCAUGCUUAUAUACAUCAAAAGAUAUAGUGUUAUUGGUGCUACAUGUUUAUAUACAUCAAAAGAUGUAGCGCUAUCGGUGUUUAAUGAAAUAGAAAAUAUAGACAUAUUACUCUAGUUAAGACCUUCUAAAGUCUAUUAUUUUACUUCGUCUUCUUGGUUUAUCCUGCAUCAUUUUUUUGCUUUUCCCUUCAGAGUGGAUACUCCUGGUUUUCUUCUGUUGUGGAAUAUCACCAUUGUCAUCAGUUAUUUCAUGUUAAGAAAGAGUUUUGUUAGUAAUAAUAACCUAAUGAGAUUAUAAACGGAGACAAGCCAAGUAAAAUUGUUGGCAAGAAUAAUUUUUGUUUUGAAGGAUGUUUACUUAUGGCAUGGUGCCCAAGGGGGUGACAAUAAUGAAAAGCAACUACCAUUAGAUAUUCUCCUUUUGAAUAUAUGACGAUCACAUUGGACCAUUACAAUGGUUUUGACAUGCUAUUGUGCUUUCAAUAACAGGCAAUUGGAAGUGUAUUAGUCAUAUGAGCAUUACAAUUGAAAUUUUGCAAUUUACAUAUAUUCUGCAUAUCCAUUUUUAAUAAGCUAAAUUAUGGCUAAAGAUCUAUGGUAUAUUAAGAGUUUAGCUCAAAACCAGAUAGAUUAUUUACAAUGCAAUAAAGCUAAUUUGCAAAUUUCUAAAAUGAUUGUUCUGACAAUAAAAAUCUAUGUGCUGAUAUUAACCGUAUUGUAUCUCGACAUGAUAUAUGUUCACUUUGAUAAGGCUAAGGAGCAUACUUGUUUGUCAUAGUUUGGUCUCCAAAGCUUCUUUUGUUUGAAAUCUAAGAUUCUUCCCAAAUGCUGAAAGGAAGAUAAUAUAAUGUGAAGGAUUAUUUAGAAUAACAAGACAUAAGAUUUUAGAAUUAUUAGAACAACAUGACAUAAGCCAUUAGUCUCUAGAUGCUUUCCAAAUGUUGAAAUGCAGAUAAUAUGGAGUCAAGGAUUAUUCAGUAAAAUAGGACAUAUGUUAUUAUAAUUAUAAUAGAACUCGUGAUAAAGAAUAGCAUCUUAAAUCUUUAAAACUUAACCAGUUCUGCUCGCACAAAACUGCAUUUGAAACGGUUAGUAAGAACUAAGAACGACUAUACAUUUUAAUAUCCAAAAUCAGCGGUGGUAGUCCAACAUGGAGUACUGAUGGAUGAGGGUUGUUGUUCUUGACUUUGUGCCUAGGAGGAAAAGUAAAUAGAUAGUGUCAAACAAUGCUUGAGGAAUUGCCAUGCCAAUUUUAAUGCAGAUUUAAGUGUUCAAAUUUUAUGGAUUUUACUUUGUCCAACGGUACACGAAAUAAGAGGAUUAUUGUGCUGCAUAGCUCAUAGUCUCUGAACUAUGGCUUCAUAGGGCAUUUAUGACAUAAGCUAUUGAAGUUAUUUAUAAAAACGGUAAACUAAUAUGCAAUAUUUCAAUAGACUUAGAUAUAUUUUUUAAUCGCAGAUCCAACAAAUAAGUAUAAAGAGAAAGAUGGGCAAGAGGAAGCACUUGGAAGCGGGCACCGUGAUGGUCGAGUUGCAGAAACAGUCGACGCUCGCUGGUGUAGUUCUCAUUCGCUUGGAUGUUAAGAAGUAGGUGCUCGUCGAGAAUGGAGGAGGUUGUAUACAGGAAAAGCACAAGCAACUAUUCG